rnacentral:rRNA from 1 species
CGGGUGAGUAACGCGUAGAUAACCUGUCCAAGCGAUUGGGAUAGCCCUUCGAAAGGGGGAUUAAUACCGAAUACGUUGAUUGUCUUUAAGGAUAAUCAAGAAAGGCGGCCUCUAUUUAUAAGCUGUCGCGCAUGGAGGGGUCUGCGUACCAUUAGUUUGUUGGUGGGGUAAUGGCCUACCAAGACUACGAUGGUUAACGGGUCUGAGAGGAUGAUCCGUCACACUGGCACUGAAACACGGGCCAG